CAACGUUCUCAGGGCGGGGCGCAAUUCCCCACCGGCGGUAAUGACGCGCAAUGCGUCUAGCCCGCGAGCGCUUGCCACGCUGGCAAGGUCAGCAGACCCGGUGUGAUCCCGGGGCCGACGGUUACAGUCCGGAUAAAGAGAGAGCGGGA
rnacentral:ncRNA from 2 species